CCUACGUGAGGCUGCAGUGAGGAAUAUUGGUCAAUGGGCGCGAGCCUGAACCAGCCAAGUAGCGUGAAGGAUGACUGCCCUACGGGUUGUAAACUUCUUUUAUAAAGGAAUAAAGUGAGGCACGUGUGCCUUUUUGUAUGUACUUUAUGAAUAAGGAUCGGCUAACUCCGUGCCAGCAGCCGCGGUAAUACGGAGGAUCCGAGCGUUAUCCGGAUUUAUUGGGUUUAAAGGGAGCGUAGAUGGGUUGUUAAGUCAGUUGUGAAAGUUUGCGGCGCAACCGUAAAAUUGCAAUUGAUACUGGCAGUCUUGAGUACAGUUGAGGUAGGCGGAAUUUGUGGUGUAGCGGUGAAAUGCUUAGAUAUCACGAAGAACUCCGAUUGCGAAGGCAGCUUACUAAACUGCCACUGACAUUGAUGCUCGAAAGUGUGGGUAUCAAACAGGAUUAGAUACCCUAGUAGUC
rnacentral:rRNA from 1 species